UGUGACUAUCUUCUAUAGCGUCUACAAAUGGAGAUUUCUCUGUUGACCGGAAACUGGGCUAUUAGAUGGAUCACAGGUGGCAUUUAUCUGUCAAAUAGGCCUUGAUACUACCUCUCCUAGGGUGGAAUGCCCUGUGCUUUCAGGUUAGUAAGGUUAUUUUGUUCUGUGUGGCAUCACCCUGCUAACCUCUGAUCAUUGUGUCCUGGCUCUAAGCAGAGAGUUCAGAUCAAGGUAAAUAAACUUGAGCAUUAUCUGAUGCUGGAUUAUGUAGCCCUGCAGUCAUUCAGCUGCAACCUCUACAGUAACCUUCGCGUACACCCUUAUGUCAAAAUGGCAUGCUUGCUUACCCAUUUACCAGGUUAAAGAAGGAAACUGGUGUGACUUUAGAUAGUCAUUUCAUUUCUAUGUGCCUCUGUUCUGUCAUUUAAAAACAGGAAUAUGGAUAAUAAACAAUAGCAGAAUGUUAUUGAGUCAUUCACAUUUAUAAAGCCCUUUGAU